rnacentral:rRNA from 1 species
GCGAGCGGCGGAUGGGUGAGUAACACGUGGGGAACCUGCCCCUAAGUCUGGGAUACCAUUUGGAAACAGGUGCUAAUACCGGAUAAUAAAGCAGAUCGCAUGAUCAGCUUUUGAAAGGCGGCGUAAGCUGUCGCUAAGGGAUGGCCCCGCGGUGCAUUAGCUAGUUGGUAAGGUAACGGCUUACCAAGGCGACGAUGCAUAGCCGAGUUGAGAGACUGAUCGGCCACAUUGGGACUGAGACACGGCCCAAACUCCUACGGGAGGCAGCAGUAGGGAAUCUUCCACAAUGGACGCAAGUCUGAUGGAGCAACGCCGCGUGAGUGAAGAAGGUUUUCGGAUCGUAAAGCUCUGUUGUUGGUGAAGAAGGAUAGAGGUAGUAACUGGCCUUUAUUUGACGGUAAUCAACCAGAAAGUCACGGCUAACUACGUGCCAGCAGCCGCGGUAAUACGUAGGUGGCAAGCGUUGUCCGGAUUUAUUGGGCGUAAAGCGAGCGCAGGCGGAAAAAUAAGUCUAAUGUGAAAGCCCUCGGCUUAACCGAGGAACUGCAUCGGAAACUGUUUUUCUUGAGUGCAGAAGAGGAGAGUGGAACUCCAUGUGUAGCGGUGGAAUGCGUAGAUAUAUGGAAGAACACCAGUGGCGAAGGCGGCUCUCUGGUCUGCAACUGACGCUGAGGCUCGAAAGCAUGGGUAGCGAAACAGGAUUAGAUACCC